GGCAGUUGUGGCUUAGUGGUUUAGGCUCUGGGUUACUGAUCGGAAGGUCGGGGGUUCAAGCCCCCAGCAAGCUGCCA